GAUGAACGCUAGCGACAGGCUUAACACAUGCAAGUCGAGGGGCAGCGGGGAGUAGCAAUACUCUGCCGGCGACCGGCGCACGGGUGAGUAACGCGUAUGCAACUUACCUAUCAGAGGAGAAUAGCUCAUCGAAAGAUGAAUUAAUGCUCCAUAAAACAGGGGUCCCGCAUGGGAAUAUUUGUUAAAGAUUUAUCGCUGAUAGAUGGGCAUGCGUUCCAUUAGAUAGUUGGUGAGGUAACGGCUCACCAAGUCUACGAUGGAUAGGGGUUCUGAGAGGAAGGUCCCCCACACUGGUACUGAGACACGGACCAG
rnacentral:rRNA from 1 species